UGAGACAGAGAUCCACUUCAUCCUUCCAACAGGCAAGCAAGUCCAGUGGAAUUGUACCCUUCCAGUGUCCUAUUGCAAAGCAGACCUUGAUGAAUCUUCGGAUGCUGCAGACUAUCUUCCAGUCUCAUGUGGCAAUUCCUCGGAUGCUUCUAUUAUAAGUACUACAAGUUCUUGUAGUAAGGAAUAUAAAACCACAGAAAAGAAUCUCCACCACAAAUUGUCAGAGAACACACCAUUAGGGAAUGUUACAGCACACAGUGGGGAUAGUACCACCAGUUCAGAGAAGCCAAGAACAUUAAGUUAUUCAAAGAUGCGCAGCAAUCCUUGUACUUCAGUAAUAAGCUGCAGUGCCAAUUCAUCAGAGAACACAUCACACCAGAAAAGCUCCAUAAAUGUCACACCUUUGUCAAUAACAGCAAAAGGAAGCAAG